rnacentral:rRNA from 1 species
GACGAACGCUGGCGGCGUGCUUAACACAUGCAAGUCGAACGUGAUUUUUGUGGAAAUUCUUUCGGGAAUGGAAAUGAAAUGAAAGUGGCGAACGGGUGAGUAACACGUGAGCAACCUACCUUACACAGGGGGAUAGCCGUUGGAAACGACGAUUAAUACCGCAUGAGACCACAGAAUCGCAUGAUAUAGGGGUCAAAGAUUUAUCGGUGUAAGAAGGGCUCGCGUCUGAUUAGCUAGUUGGAAGGGUAAAGGCCUACCAAGGCGACGAUCAGUAGCCGGUCUGAGAGGAUGAACGGCCACAUUGGAACUGAGACACGGUCCAAACUCCUACGGGAGGCAGCAGUGGGGAAUAUUGCACGAUGGGGGGAACCCUGAUGCAGCGAUGCCGCGUGAGAGAAGAAGGUUUUCGAAUCGUAAAGCUCUGUCCUAUGAGAAGAUAAUGACGGUAGCAGAGGAGGAAGCCCCGGCUAAAUACGUG